GAUGAACGCUGGCGGCGUGCUUAACACAUGCAAGUCGAACGGAAAGGCUCCUGCUUGCAGGGGUACUCGAGUGGCGAACGGGUGAGUAACACGUGGGUGAUCUGCCCUGCACUUCGGGAUAAGCCUGGGAAACUGGGUCUAAUACCGGAUAGGACGAUGGUUUGGAUGCCAUUGUGGAAAGUUUUUCGGUGUGGGAUGAGCUCGCGGCCUAUCAGCUUGUUGGUGGGGUAAUGGCCUACCAAGGCGUCGACGGGUAGCCGGCCUGAGAGGGUGUACGGCCACAUUGGGACUGAGAUACGGCCCAGACUCCUACGGGAGGCAGCAGUGGGAAAUAUUGCACAAUGGGCGCAAGCCUGAUGCAGCGACGCCGCGUGGGGGAUGACGGCCUUCGGGUUGUAAACUCCUUUCGCUAGGGACGAAGCGCAAGUGACGGUACCUGGAAAAGAAGCACGGGCUAACUACGU
rnacentral:rRNA from 1 species